GUCAUCUUGGGCGAUGAUCCACGCUGGAAUGUUCACGUCAUGCCAGCGCGUGAAGACAGUGUGUUCGGGAUGUUCGGAUGGUU
rnacentral:tRNA from 1 species